rnacentral:snRNA from 1 species
GUGCUCACUUCAACAGCGCAUAUACUAAAAUUGGAACGAUACAGAGAAGAUGAGCGUGGCCCCUGCGCGAGGAUGACGUGCAAAUUUGUGAAGCAUUCCAUAUUAAA